AUAUAAGCGUUGACGAAGAAGAGUAGCUUUAAUGAGCUGUUUCAGAGAGCUGAUGGCAGGUGAGAAUCAGCACAGCCGUUUUAGUGAAUGGCCUUCCGAGCUUCCGCACCGAACCCUGGUUGGGCAGUAGGCUGCGGCGAAUGUCUUAUCGUUACAAAAGACAGGCAUUUAAGCGAAUGGUUUUGAUGCUUUUUGAGUGGAUUGUGCUAUGGCGCAAUCAAUAAAGGUGGUACCGCGGCUCCCCGUCCUUUGU
rnacentral:ncRNA from 1 species